rnacentral:tRNA from 1 species
GAGGGUAUAGCUCAAGUGAUAGAGCACAUGCUUAGCAAGCAUGAGGUACUGAGUUCAAUUCUCUGUACCUCCU